rnacentral:rRNA from 1 species
UACGAAGGGGGCUAGCGUUGCUCGGAAUCACUGGGCGUAAAGCGCACGUAGGCGGCUUUUUAAGUCAGGGGUGAAAUCCUGGAGCUCAACUCCAGAACUGCCUUUGAUACUGAGGAUCUUGAGUUCGGGAGAGGUGAGUGGAACUGCGAGUGUAGAGGUGAAAUUCGUAGAUAUUCGCAAGAACACCAGUGGCGAAGGCGGCUCACUGGCCCGAUACUGACGCUGAGGCACGAAAGCGUGGGGAGCAACAGG